CCGAAGUCGUGGCCAGCAGCCUCGUUAAGACGGAGGUUCCGAGCGUUAUCCGGAAUUAUUGGGUUUAAAGGGUUCGUAGGCGGCUUUGUAAGUCAGUGGGUAAAUUUCCUAGCUUAACUAGGACACUGCCAUUGAUACUGCAGAGCUUGAAUAAUAUGGAAGUAACUAGAAUAUGUAGUGUAGCGGUGAAAUGCUUAGAUAUUACAUGGAAUACCAAUUGCGAAGGCAGGUUACUACGUAUUUAUUGACGCUGAUGAACGAAAGCGUGGGGAGCGAACAGGAUUAGAUACCCGUGUAGUC
rnacentral:rRNA from 1 species